rnacentral:sRNA from 5 species
GCUUUCUGCAACCUGAAGAGGAUGAGAACCUCCGGGGGCAGGGAGGUUCGACUCGAGCGAAGCGAGAGAACGUUGCGCCAGCAACGGCCCGCAGGGCGAGCCACGAAGUGGCGAGUAAUCCUCUGGCACCGACCA